UUUCCGGGUAAACAUAAAUAAAGUUUUCACCAAAAAAUAAAAUAAAAUCACGCAGAAAAAAUUUCUAAACAACAAUAACUAUCUUAAAAAUAUCUUUGUUUUAAAAACUCCUCAAGGAAAAGUAUUUCAGUUAAAAAACUUCAACACAGCUUCUUCAACUGAGCCAAUGGGCCAUACAUGGAAGUAGGGGUGACAAAAUGGUUAACAUUUGUCAUUAUCCACCAGGCCCAAGUAGCUACUUUGAGACCCCCCUAUUUAAAACAAAUCUAGUUUAUAAAACUAUUUAAAAAUUUAGCUAGUUUCAGCAAAAUAUCAGAUCGUUCUGCUACUAUUUCUUCUUCUUCUUCUUCAUUAUCUUUAGACGUUCGGGUCUAAAGCUUUGAAUUGUCAGAUUCUAACUUUAUAGGCGGUGGUCAAAAGUUUGAACUGUCGAAACAAAAGCUUCAGACCUUCGAGUUUGAAGUUAGGCUCCGCUUUCGCCCGAAGGUCUGAAAUUAAACUGUAAUUAGACUAUUAGUAUGAAGUUAGGCUUUAGCAACUCAAACUUCAUAUCAGUAAUUAAAACUUCAGACUGUCGGGUAUGGAGUUUGAUUCUGAUCCAACUAAACUUUAAACACUUUUUAAACUUCGGCUAUUCAUUAAAUAUUGUUAUUUUAGGAUGCACCUAGACACAAGGGUAUGGGAGGGAGGGGGUGAAUUGUGUCGUACUCAAUUUUUGCAUGCCAAAGAACCCGAUUCUUUAGCUAAACUAUUUUGACACAAAAUUGAAAGUGAAGUGUGAAAAUAUAAACAACACAAUAAUUUUUACAUGGAAAACUCCUUGCUCAAGGGAGUAAAAAAUCACGACCUAUCCCAGUAGGAUUUGUUGCAAAACUUCACUAACUUCAAAGAGCAAUUUUAGGUUACAACUCAAUAACCAAGGGGACUAAUUCUAGUACCCUACCCCUACAAUUAACCCAUUGUAGUUAAGCUUUAUGUUACAACUCUAUAACAAAUGAGACUAACUCUAGUACCAUUCCCUUACAAUCAACUCAAUUGUAGCUACCAUUUUCUAAACUAACUCUAGCUUAGAAACCGAAACAAAACACUUCAGAAUUUGAUCACCUACAUUUACACUUCUCAAAAGCAAAAUAGGUUACAAUUUAAGAACAAUUGACUCAACCUAAACAACUAAAGAAUUUCACCAGUUUCGUCUUCUGGACCUGGUUCUUCAGUUGAGCAACUUGAAUCCUUGAAAGCACCUUCUUGCUAUAAAUGUUUUUUACUUUGAAUGAUUCUCUGUAUUUUCAUUGAAUAGCAUUAGCUUCAAUAGAAGCAAGGUGAUGCUUUAUAUAGGCAUGAGGUCGGACGAAAUCCUUCUCCAAUUUAUGCUCCAAAACUUGAAAGAAAUCGGUUAAGGAAAAGAAUCCUUUUAGGGUUUGUUUUCCUUAUUUUUUCUAAUUUCUCUCCUUUAAUGCAAGUACUUCCAUAAUUAUUGAAUCCUUUUCCAACACGAAUUCCUUCAGCUAAUAUUUUUCUUGUAUCCCACGAAUUUAAUUCUUUAAGGAAUCCGACUUGCAUUAGGAUUUGACUUUCCUUAAAAUACUCCUUCACAUGCAAGUAUUCCCAUAAUUAAUGAAUCCUUGUUGACCAUGAAUUCCUCUAAUUAUUACCAUACGUUCAGCCCAUGAAAUAAUUUAUAUUAGGAAUCCAAGUUGCAACAAAAUUCCAGCUCAACUAACUUGCACUAGGAAUAAGCUUUCAGCUUCUGAUCAUCAUUUUCAAGGGACCUGGUUCUGUCGAUAUUUGCAUGAUACAUCUGCAACUCUGUAUAUCAGCACAACAAAUAUCUUCACGAGAUCCAGUUCGUUGUCAGCUAUUGGUUAAUCAUUGAAACCACUUUUAAGCACAUACUCUUCAAACAUCUGCUUCAAGGGCCCUAAUUCUUUCAUUGACAAAGUAACAUAUGUGUACAUUAGUCUAGUAGCAUAGUAACUGUCACACCUCCUUUUUUCCGAAAGAAAUUUUUUUAUUUUAAGUGACAUUAUUGAAAAUGAAUUAUUUUAUCUAAUUUUAAGAGUCGCCACUUGGAAUUAUUUAUUACGGUGUUCCAAGUCACCAUUUAUUAAAAAUUUCAUUUCAAGAAAAGUUUGACUCUGUUUUAUUCUGCGAAAUACAGAAUAUCGGGUAAGGAAUUUUGCUAACCCGGAAGAAGGUGUGAGUCACUUCCGAAUUCCGUAAUCUUAGCAUGGUCGCUUUCAAUUACACUUAGCCAAAUUAUCUAAUUAUUACAUGUUUUAGAUCCUAUGUACAUUUUAACUUUUAACGCUUUGAUUUUAUCUUUAAACCAUUUUGAGUAUUUGCGAAAUUAUUUUAAAACUUGUUGUUUUAUAUAUAUCGCAAACUGCGCCACGUGAAAUGCACCCUCAGUUUACAACAUGCUUAUUUUUAUUAUUACUUUGAAGUUGUAAGGUCAAGUCACGCGGACGUGCCCUUGAAUUUGGAGUUACGUAUCACAAUCAUGCCACGAGAGCCGUACCCAUAACUGCAAAGAUUUAUUUAAUAAGCGUCUAAAGCAACUACGAGGGUUCAUAAGUUUAUUUAUUUCAACACGUUUGAGAUUGCUUGUGGAGUCCAAGAAUUAUAGAAUUUCAUUCGUGAAUUCGCGAACUUUGAAACACUAAGGGCCUGCUUCAUAACAAAUACGAGAAAAGUUGAGAAAAUAGAUUUGGUAGAUUAACAACUUAUCUGUAUUAAUAAAUGAAUCCUCAUUAGUUAAUUAGUAGUGGCUUGUAAUUAAACUAUAUCUCUUAUUUUCAAUUAUUUAAUUCUACAUGGAUUAUUAUUGGGAAGGUAACUUUAUGGGCUAAAUUUGUUGAGUACCCAGAUUGGACAUCCAAUAAGUCACUUGUGAAUACAAAUGGGCUUCGGAUUAAAGCCCAAGGCAUCCUUUGAGCCUUCUAAGAACCAGGCCACGUUGUAGGCCUCUAAAUAGGUUUGGUGCUGAAAUUAGCUAGGAGUUCAAAGUCCUCAUGACUCCAGUCUAAUUCUGCCACUUUGCUGGGCCAGUUACUCAGGCCCAAUGGCCUUUGGGAACGAAAGCCCAGUGAUUUACAACUCAAAAUUUCAUACACCAUUGCAAAAAAUGAAAGAACUACGAACUAAUCUAAGCAUGAGUACAUGUUCAUCCGGAUUUAAAAUUACAACACCAAAUUCACUACAUCAGAAAUCUUGACUUGAAUUUAUAAUAACAAACGCUUUUAUGAACUAGCAUCCUACAUUUCUGGGAUUAAACAAUGUCAUAACAAAUAAGGUUUCCGAUAAUUAAUUCAUAUCUCCUGAUGCCUUUGACUCGUACAAGUUUAAACUCUUCAUUCAACCUUCAAACUCAUGUGCUUAAAAACUUCAGUGGCUAGCAAACUCAAGCCCGAUCUCUCACAAAUUUAUUAAGUGUUCACAAUCACCAAUAACAUGAUGAUGUUAAUUCUCAAAUUGCUAACACGUAUCAUACUAAGCUAAACACAAAUCAAUCUGUUACAAUUAGAGGCAGAUUUUUGUUUUUACUCAAACACAGAAAUAUUGUCACAAAAACAUACUAGAUUUGACUUUGUGACAUCUUAUCUAAAAACAUUAAUCGCGCGAAGAGCAAUAAUGGAUCUGGACACACAUAGAUCUAUGAAGAACCAACAUGAUUUCAAUUUGAGGAAUUACAAACUACUUAAGUGUCAGCAACACGAGUCAAGGAAUGCAUUUUAAUUUCAUAACCAAAACAUGCCAUAUCAUCAUUAAACUCAAUACAUUUAGAGAUCUAUAAGAAGCACUAAGUUAAAACCUGAACAACGAGAGAGAUUUAGGACCAAAUAAAGUUUAGAAAAUUCGAAGAGGGAGCUCAGCUACGAAACCAUAGAAUCAACAGCGAAUCAACAACAAUUAAUAGAGUUUUUGAGAUGGAAUUACUCCUUUGGAACCCAACAAGUAAGGAAUAAUCGGUCACAGGUGGAAACACUCUUCAAAUCCUUUUGAAAUCCUAAGCUUUCUACUGUUUUUGGAGUCUUUGAUCUCAGAUCUCUUUUUUGAAUUUUUUUGACUUUAGAAAUUUUUGGUUUUCCGCUGUUUUUGAAUACUGCUGAAUUUUCAGAGUGAAAUGGGUCUGUGUGCGAAUUUUUUAGACUCUGAAUACAUGCCCAAAGUAUGAGGAGGAAUGCCUUAUUUAUAGAUUAUUGGUUAGGGCUCUUUUCAAAUUUCCCUUUUUGUUUUACCCCUCUUAUUUUCAGUUUUUACUCCAACAGUCCCUAAUAAUAACAAACCCUUCUACAUCUUCUUUGCAAAUUAAUCAUUUUCAACACCUUCCUCGAAGUUUCCUAAAAGAUUCUCUAAGGGUGGAAUUCCUUAAUUAUCCCGUGUCUUUCCAGUAUUUACCAAUUUUUAGAAAUUAACUUUCUUUUAACUCAAUUACUACUCUUGUUUUACCACAUAUUUCACUAAAUUUCUGGCAGUGAGCCUUAGACUAAAAGAAUAAUAGGCAAUGUCGACCUGGGCUCAAAGCCCACUGGUCUUUUGUAUUUUUGACAAGUCUGUUAAUGACCUAGCCUAAUUUCAUUUAAAUUUGAACCAAACUAACUAAGAGAGUAUUUAAACACUAACAAAAUAUAUGGAAAAUUUACAACAAAAAUAAAAAAUAAGCCAACUCAUAAACUAAUUAGCUAACACAAAAUCGAACUAACAGAAGAAUACUCUUAACUUCUAAUGCUAUUUGAUCAAUAAUUAAAAUAUGCGAUUAUUCACCUAUAAAUAAAAAAAAUGACAACACAUAAAAAAACCAUAGAAGAAGAGGAGGGAAGAGUAUACCUAUUGGAUCAAACCGAGCUGUCAAGAGAAAAUUCCGAUGAGCCAGAGGAUUGCUACACAAGCACCAACCAAAAUUUGUCACGCCGGCCAGUGCUAUAUGUAGCAAUAGCUCUUGCAUGCUGGAGGUGAUGAACGAAGAAGCUUUGAGAGGACUGGCCGGUCAACCAGAAUUUGAUCGGGCCCCGAUGGCCACGAAAUGAGACGAAACCACCACCAAUCGACAAUACUCAUCAAGAGAUGUCGAUUAGUGUGAAUUUUAACCUCAGACGUGUAAGAAUAGAAGAGGAAUCAAGAAAGACUUAAAUUCCCAGGUCUACUAAUCGUGGAGUUUGGGUGGAUUUUUACGGAAAUGGUUGAGAAAUUAGGGACGAGGAGGAGUGAGGAGUAUCUGGUGAAAAUAUUUAGCCAAUUGGUGGUGGUCCGCCGCCGUGGCGAUUUUCGGCGGCGAUCAGACGGUGGUCCUCCACGGCGUGAAGGCGGAAGGAGGACAGUGGGCGGUGAAAGCAAUUUUUGGCCGCCCAAGAGAGAUGAGAGAGAAUGGGGAUUAGGGGUGGUGUAUAAAUAUUGAAUUUUUAUCAAUCAUUUUUAUUAUAAAGGGAAAAUCAGUGAAAUGACAUAGCUAUGUUGCGAGACUACUUUGUUUAGAUGGUCUGAUGCUAAGAUUGUUUGGACCGGGUAUUGAAUUGUACUGCACGGGUAUUCUUAGUAAAACUGGGCCCAAAAUCGUGGCCCAGUCUCAUUUUGAGCUUAGUAGCCUUAUCCUCCCUUCUUCUUCAUUUUACAAUUAGCCACUAAUCAACUGACAUACCAUUUGCAAAAUUAUCCUACUAACUGAUUCUAUCUAAUGACUUACUAUAAAAAUUAUAAAUUAUCCUACUAAUUAUGUGAGUAAGUAGGUCCAAAAAUGCAGAGUUAUUAGCUAAUAUAUUUUUAUGAUUUUGUGUUUAAUAAAAACUGCAAUUAGCAGGCAUUUGAGUGCCAGCAAUGCAAUUAGAAUCUGAAAAUACGAUGAAUGAAAUAAAAAGGUAUUUUUGGUGAUUUUCUAUGAUUUAACAUGCUCUUAGUAAUACAAAUAAUGCAUACAAACUAACAAAGAAAAAAUCUUUAAAGUUUCAAGAAAAAUCAAAAUAAUUGAUAAUACUAUUUUUAGACCUUUUAGGAGCAAUUUCAGGUGAGGCAAAAAUUACGUGCUCACAGUAACCUGUACAUGCAACCUAGUUCUUCCAUAUAAUCAAUCUGGUUUGUUAAUGGUGUACCCUGUGUUGAAAAACACAAUUAGGGAUUGGUGUACCCUAUACUGAAAAAGAGAUUAGGGAGUGAUGUACCCUAUACUGAAAAAGAGACUAGGGAGUAAUGUACCCUAUAUUAGCAAUGAGAUCAGGGAAUGUUGUACCCUACAUUUAAGAUCAUUAACUAGGGAAUGAUGUACCCUAUACUGGUAAAGAGACUAGGGAGUGGUGUACGCUAUAUUAGCAAUGAGAUCACGAAAUGGUGUACCCUACAUUACAUAUAUAUACUAAACUAUACUAUAUAUACUAAACUAUACUAUAUAUAUAUAUAUAUAUAUAUAUAUAUAUAUAUACUAUACACUUAGUAUAUAUUUACUUUUUAGUAGUAACAUGAAAGGACCAAAGUAUGGUACUUCUUAGCUGGUAUAAAUAUGGAAGGAUAAAAGAUCAAGUUUUAGCUCAACUCAGUAUAUAUUAUAGUAUAGUAUAUAUAUAAGCUAUAUUUGNNNNNNNNNNNNNNNNNNNNNNNNNCUAUUUUAUAAAUAGCCAAUGGCUAUAUUUUAUUUUAUUUUAAAUUUUGUUUUUUUUUUAAAAAAUAAAAAUAAAUUAGCCGUUGGGACCGUUUGGCCCGCUAAGGGACCGGGCCGGUCCCAGACCCUGGCGGGCUAACGGUCCCGGGCCUGACGAGCUCAGAUCAUAGGACCGACCCACGAGACUGGCCCAGAACCGCUAAAAUCGGGCCAAACAGUCCUGGCCCGUUUAGCCCGUUUGGCCCGUUUGGCCCGCGGUCCCGGGCCUGGACCGGCCCACUUGCCACCCUUACCCACUGGUCUUCUGUAUUUUUGACAAGUCUGUUAAUGACCUAGCCUAAUUUCUUUUAAAUUUGAACCAAACUAACUAGGACAGUAUUUAAACACUAACAAAAUAUAUGGGAAAUUUACAACAAAAAUAAAAAAUAAGUUAACUCAUAAACUAAUUAGCUAACACAAAAUCGAACUAACAGAAGAAUACUCUUAACUUCUAAUGCUAUUUGAUCAAUAAUUAAAACAUGCGAUUAUUCACCUAUGAAUUACAAACACUGACAACACAUAAAAAAAGAAAAAACGUAGAAGAAAAGGAGGGAAGAGUAUACCUAUUGGAUUAAACCGAGCUGUCAAGAGGAAAUUCCGAUGAGCCGGAGGAUUGCUACACAAGCACCAACCAAAAUUUGUCAUGCCGGCCAGUGCUAUAUGUAGCAAUAGCUCCUGCAUGCUGGAGGUGAUGAACGAAGAAGCUUUGAGAGGACUGGCAGGUCUACCAGAAUUUGAUCGGGCCCCGAUGGCCACGAAAUGAGACGAAACCACCACCAAUCGACAAUACUCAUCAAGAGAUGUCGAUUAGUGUGAAUUUUAACCUUAGACAAGUAAGAAUUGAAGAGGAAUCAAGAAAGGGGCAAUUUCAGUUUUUCUUAAAUUCUCAGGUCUACUAAUCGUGGAGUUUGGGUGGAUUUUUGCGAAAAUGGUUGAGAAAUUAGGGACGAGGAGGAGUGAGGAGUAUCUGGUGAAAAUUUUAGCCAAUUGGCAGUGGUCCGCCGCCGUGACAAUUUUCGGCGGCGGUUAGACGGUGGUCCACCGUGGCGUGAAGGCGGAAGGAGGACAGUGGGCGGCGAAAGCAAUUUUCGGCCGCCCAAGAGAGAUGAGAGAGGAUGGGGAUUAGGGGUGGUGUAUAAAUAUUGAAUUUUUAUCAAUCAUUUUUAUUAUAAAGGGGAAAACAGUGAAAUGAC
rnacentral:lncRNA from 1 species